UGUGUUGUCCAUCAUCUUGUGAGACCUCCGGCUACAACAGAGGACACAGGAGCUUUUCAGAACCCUCGUGUCUUGUGUUGCAGCCAGAGGAGCACAUCUAUUCG
rnacentral:pre_miRNA from 13 species